rnacentral:lncRNA from 1 species
ACAAUUAACUAAGAAAAUAUAGAACUUUUUUUACACAAAUUUCAAAUUAACAUUUUUUUGAACGAUUUAGUUUGUCAAAGAAUUUUGAUCAAGUGUAAUAGAAGAGAACGUUUGUACUAACCAAUCCAAUUACAUAUUUCGAUUGACCACGCAAGGAAGGGAUAGAAGAAGUUGUUGAAAAGUCAGGUAUUAACAAGUUUCUUGAUAAUUCUAAGAACAAAGAACAUCCAAAAUGAGCACAGGAUUUUGGCCUCAGAGCCCCAGCCUCACUGCAAUGAAAUAUAUGCGCUAUAGCUCAGGUACUGAAAAAUUUGAGCCGGGAGUGCUCUACAGAUCCCAUAUGAACAUGGAAGCACAUGUUCAUGGAUACAAAAAUCUUCGUCGUGAAAUGCGUGCAUCAACCGAAGAGAUGGAUUGGCAAAGCAAAUACCGGAGCUCACCUGACCGCAUCAUUACUCCAGUUUGUGUACUUCGUAAUAGUAUUGUUGGAUAUACUUCUGAAAGAGUUUGUGGCAAUAAUUGGCGUCACGACUUUGUCCCUUCCUCAGUCAGAUUCUCUGUUGCUACCCCAAGAAAUCCCUAUUUGACCAGAACGUUCAGAUAUAUGGGAAUGCACAGAUCUGUUGAUUUGUAGAAUUCAAUGGAUUGGUUUCUACACAAUCUUUCUGUAUGUAAUUGUAUAUUUGUAUUUUUCCAAGGGUUUAUUUAUUUGCUGAAUUCGUAAAAAGUUAAGAAAUCACUAGAAAACCAGGCCGAUAAGGGUUAUUUGUAUAUAGUUAAUUAAUUAUUAUUUUAUUGUAUAUCAUUUUUAUUUUAAGAUAUUUAUUUGUAAAGUAUUCCAAUACUUGAUUCUUUGUUAUGAUAAUUUUAAUUACAUAAAAUAAAUAUAUAUACUUGA